rnacentral:rRNA from 1 species
ACGGGGGGGGCAAGCGUUGUUCGGAAUUACUGGGCGUAAAGCGUGCGCAGGCGGUUUUGUAAGCCAGAUGUGAAAGCCCCGGGCUUAACCUGGGAAUGGCAUUUGGGACUGCAAGGCUUGAGUGCGGCAGAGGAGACUGGAAUUCCCGGUGUAGCAGUGAAAUGCGUAGAUAUCGGGAGGAAUACCGAUGGCGAAGGCAGGUCUCUGGGCUGACACUGACGCUCAUGCACGAAAGCGUGGGGAGCAAACAGGA